AGCAGUGCCGCGGUAAUACGUAGGGUGCAAGCGUUAAUCGGAAUUACUGGGCGUAAAGCGUGCGCAGGCGGUUUGUUAAGACAGAUGUGAAAUCCCCGGGCUCAACCUGGGAACUGCAUUUGUGACUGGCAAGCUAGAGUGUGGCAGAGGGGGGUGGAAUUCCGCGUGUAGCAGUGAAAUGCGUAGAUAUGCGGAGGAACACCGAUGGCGAAGGCAGCCCCCUGGGCCAACACUGACGCUCAUGCACGAAAGCGUGGGGAGUAAACAGGAUUAGAUACCCGUGUAGUCCCUGUCUCUUAUACA
rnacentral:rRNA from 1 species